GGGACACGUGGUAUCCUGUCUGAAUAUGGGGGGACCAUCCUCCAAGGCUAAAUACUCCUGACUGACCGAUAGUGAACCAGUACCGUGAGGGAAAGGCGAAAAGAACCCCGGCGAGGGGAGUGAAAAAGAACCUGAAACCGUGUACGUACAAGCAGUGGGAGCACCUUCGGGUGUGACUGCGUACCUUUUGUAUAAUGGGUCAGCGACUUAUAUUCUGUAGCAAGGUUAACCGUAUAGGGGAGCCGCAGGGAAACCGAGUCUUAACUGGGCGUUAAGUUGCAGGGUAUAGACCCGAAACCCGGUGAUCUAGCCAUGGGCAGGUUGAAGGUUGGGUAACACUAACUGGAGGACCGAACCGACUAAUGUUGAAAAAUUAGCGGAUGACUUGUGGCUGGGGGUGAAAGGCCAAUCAAACCGGGAGAUAGCUGGUUCUCCCCGAAAGCUAUUUAGGUAGCGCCUCGUGAACUCAUCUUCGGGGGUAGAGCACUGUUUCGGCUAGGGGGUCAUCCCGACUUACCAACCCGAUGCAAACUACGAAUACCGAAGAAUGUUAUCACGGGAGACACACGGCGGGUGCUAACGUCCGUCGUGAAGAGGGAAACAACCCAGACCGCCAGCUAAGGUCCCAAAGUCAUGGUUAAGUGGGAAACGAUGUGGGAAGGCACAGACAGCCAGGAUGUUGGCUUAGAAGCAGCCAUCAUUUAAAGAAAGCGUAAUAGCUCACUGGUCGAGUCGGCCUGCGCGGAAGAUGUAACGGGGCUAAACCAUGCAC
rnacentral:rRNA from 1 species